CUGUCUUGAGUAGUUAAAAGAUAGAACAGUCUAGCCAAGUGCCAUGUCUCUUAUUCUUGAUCAGCUAUAGCUCUGGAGUUUUUGCAGAUUUUCAAAUAAAACUUAGAGAUUCCUUGUAUGACUCUCUAAAUCUCUCUUUUGUGGUAUUUCUGGAUCCUUACCAAGGCAGUGAUGGUAUAUGCCUUCUCUCAAGAUAUGUGGUAUUUGUGGUAUAAGGCAUAGUGACAUUGCCUUCUCUCUCACCCUACUCUAAUAAAGCUUUAAUAUCUGCAGCUCAUAGGUGGGAGAUAAAGUAUACAUACUUACAUGACAUUUAUUGUAUAGUCAAACCAUGU
rnacentral:lncRNA from 1 species